GCCAGGUGUGGUGGUGCACGCCUGUAAUCCCAGCUACUUGGGAGGCUGAGGCAGAAGAAUCGCUUGAACCUAGGAGGCAGAGGUUGCAGUGAGCUGAGAUUGCACCACUGCACUCCAGCCUGGGUGAUAAAGCAAGACUCUGUCUCAA
rnacentral:SRP_RNA from 1 species